ACAUUAUAAUGUUAUAUACUUUU
rnacentral:snRNA from 1 species